GGGUUCUACCCUACAUCAAUAAGUGCGAAUACAUUCGCCGUGGCCUUGUGGAAAGACGUGCUUGAUCUUACUACCUAGCUUCCUGCAAUCCGAUAUAUAAUCACACAAAUUAGUUAACAAAAUUUGAUAAACAAAUCCAAGAGCAAUGGAGAAUUCUACAACUCACAAAUAAUGGAAAUGUCCCAAUGGAAAAAGAACAAUACAAACUAUGCUUCCUCCGUUCAUUCAUGAUGAGUUAAUGAUAUGUGCAAUCCAGUUCAAGAUAGUGCAUCAAUGGAGACUCACAUGUGCUUCACCCUCGUCACCUACCUGGGCACGUGGUGCUGACUUGCUGAGAUGCAAUAUCGCCUUGAAAUCCAUCCUCCUGUAUGGCGUCAGGGCCAGCUCAUGUGGCCUUGUUUCCAAUCCGAACCAGCGCUCAGGCGAGGUGGAUCGGAGGACAAAACCGCAGGUGUGGCCGGGGCCAAUCCUGGCAGAGUUAAGGAUGGCGAAGAGGGAGGUUACGACAUCGUCGAUGAGCAGGUUAGUGGGUCAGUUUCAGCGCAGCCGCCAGACGAGAUGGCGCACCGGUGAGUUGGAACGGAGGCCGCAGAUGGGUGGAUCUGACUCAAACUCGUGCUGGGGGCGAGAGGAGAGGUGACCAGGGGCAUGUCGAGCAUGGCGAUGUUCACGGGAUGGUAGGAGAGAUGGGAGAGUUAAUUCGGGCGAUUAAUGUAAGGAGAGAUUA
rnacentral:lncRNA from 1 species